rnacentral:rRNA from 1 species
CCUACGGGAGGCAGUAGUGAGGAAUAUUGGUCAAUGGCCGGAAGGCUGAACCAGCCAUGCCGCGUGAAGGUCAGUGCCCUAUGGGCGUUAAACCUCUUUUGUGCGGGAGCAAUAAUGGUCACGUGUGGCCAGACGAGAGUACCGUACGAAUAAGCAUCGGCUAACCUCGUGCCAGCAGCCGCGGUAAUACGGGGGAUGCAAGCGUUAUCCGGAUUUAAUGGGUUUAAAGGGUGCGUAGGCUGGGAGGUAAGUCAGCGGUGAAAUGCUUCCGGUCAAAGGGGUGAAGUGCCAUUGAUACUGGCAUGCUGGAGUGCAGAUGCGGUAGGAGGAAUGUGUGGUGUAGCGGUGAAAUGCAUAGAUAUCACGCAGAACACCGAUUGCGAAGGCAUCUCACGAGACCGCGAUUGACGCUGAUGCACGAAAGCGUGGGUAUCAAACAGGAUUAGAUACCCGAGUAGUC